rnacentral:rRNA from 1 species
AUUGAACGCUGGCGGCAGGCCUAACACAUGCAAGUCGGACGGUAGCACAGAGGAGCUUGCUCCUCGGGUGACGAGUGGCGGACGGGUGAGUAAUGUCUGGGAAACUGCCCGAUGGAGGGGGAUAACUACUGGAAACGGUAGCUAAUACCGCAUAACGUCGCAAGACCAAAGUGGGGGACCUUCGGGCCCCACACCAUCGGAUGUGCCCAGAUGGGAUUAGCUGGUAGGCGGGGUAACGGCCCACCUAGGCGACGAUCCCUAGCUGGUCUGAGAGGAUGACCAGCCCCACUGGAACUGAGACACGGUCCAGACUCCUACGGGAGGCAGCAGUGGGGAAUAUUGCACAAUGGGCGCAAGCCUGAUGCAGCCAUGCCGCGUGUAUGAAGAAGGCCUUCGGGUUGUAAAGUACUUUCAGCGGGGAGGAAGGUGCUGAGGUUAAUAAGCUCAGCAAUUGACGUUACCCGCAGAAGAAGCACCGGCUAACUCCGUGCCAGCCGCCGCGGUAA